UACGUAGGGGGCAAGCGUUGUCCGGAUUUAUUGGGCGUAAAGAGCUCGUAGGCGGUUCCGUAAGUCGUGAAGUCAAAUCUCUGGGCUCAACCCAGAAUCGCUUCCGAUACUGCGGUGACUGGAGUCCGGUAGGGGAGUGUGGAAUUCCUGGUGUAGCGGUGAAAUGCGCAGAUAUCAGGAGGAACACCAACAGCGAAGGCAGCACUCUGGGCCGGUACUGACGCUGAGGCGCGAAAGCCAGGGGAGCGAACGGG
rnacentral:rRNA from 1 species